GCUGGCGGCAGCUUUAAUACAUGCAAGUCGAGCGAGAAAGUUUCUUCGGAAAUUAGUAAAGCGGCGAACGGGUGAGUAACGCGUAGGAAUCUACCAUUCAGCGGGGGAUAGCUCGAGGAAACUCGAAUUAAUACCGCAUACACCCUACGGGGGAAAGAAGGCCUAUCCUUGGAAGCUUUCACUGUUUGAUGAGCCUGCGUGAGAUUAGUUUGUUGGUGAGGUAAUGGCUCACCAAGACUACGAUCUCUAGCUGGUCUGAGAGGACGAUCAGCCACACUGGGACUGAGACACGGCCCAGACUCCUACGGGAGGCAGCAGUAGAGAAUAUUGGACAAUGGGGGCAACCCUGAUCCAGGCAUGCCGCGUGUGUGAAGAAGGCCUUAGGGUUGUAAAGCACUUUAGGUAAGGAAGAAAAGUUAAUAGUUAAUACCUGUUGACCGUGACAUUACUUACAGAAUAAGGACCGGCUAACUCCGUGCCAGCAGCCGCGGUAAUACGGAGGGUCCAAGCGUUAAUCGGAAUUACUGGGCGUAAAGCGCGCGUAGGCGGUAUGCUAAGUUGGGUGUGAAAUCCCCGGGCUUAACCUGGGAACUGCAUUCAAAACUUGCAUACUGGAGUACGGAAGAGGCGAGUAGAAUUCAUGGUGUAGCGGUGAAAUGCGUAGAUAUCAUGAGGAAUACCAAUGGCGAAGGCAACUCGCUGGUCCGUAACUGACGCUGAGGUGCGAAAGCGUGGGUAGCAAACAGGAUUAGAUACCCUGGUAGUCCACGCCGUAAACGAUGAGAACUAGCCGUUGGAUCCUUGAGAUUCAGUGGCACAGCUAACGCAUUAAGUUCUCCGCC
rnacentral:rRNA from 1 species